rnacentral:rRNA from 1 species
CCUACGGGUGGCUGCAGUGGGGAAUAUUGGACAAUGGGGGCAACCCUGAUCCAGCCAUGCCGCGUGUGUGAAGAAGGCCUCGGGUUGUAAAGCACUUUCAGUGAGGAAGAACGCCUGGUGGUUAAUACCCAUCAGGAAAGACAUCACUCACAGAAGAAGCACCGGCUAACUCCGUGCCAGCAGCCGCGGUAAUACGGAGGGUGCGAGCGUUAAUCGGAAUUACUGGGCGUAAAGCGCGCGUAGGUGGCUUGAUAAGCCGGUUGUGAAAGCCCCGGGCUCAACCUGGGAACGGCAUCCGGAACUGUCAAGCUAGAGUGCAGGAGAGGAAGGUAGAAUUCCCGGUGUAGCGGUGAAAUGCGUAGAGAUCGGGAGGAAUACCAGUGGCGAAGGCGGCCUUCUGGACUGACACUGACACUGAGGUGCGAAAGCGUGGGUAGCAAACAGGAUUAGAUACCCGUGUAGUC